UACGUAGGUGACAAGCGUUGUCCGGAUUUACUGGGCGUAAAGAGCGCGCAGGCGGUCGAUCAAGUCGAGUGUGAAAGCCCCCGGCUCAACUGGGGAGGGUCAUUCGAUACUGAUCGACUCGAAGGCAGGAGAGGGUAGUGGAAUUCCCGGUGUAGUGGUGAAAUGCGUAGAUAUCGGGAGGAACACCAGUGGCGAAGGCGGCUGCCUGGACCAGUCCUGACGCUGAGGCGCGAAAGCUAGGGGAGCAAACAGG
rnacentral:rRNA from 1 species